AUUGAACGCUGGCGGCAGGCCUAAUACAUGCAAGUCGAGCGGACGAAGGGAGCUUGCUCCUGGAUUCAGCGGCGGACGGGUGAGUAAUGCCUAGGAAUCUGCCUGGUAGUGGGGGAUAACGUCCGGAAACGGGCGCUAAUACCGCAUACGUCCUGAGGGAGAAAGUGGGGGAUCUUCGGACCUCACGCUAUCAGAUGAGCCUAGGUCGGAUUAGCUAGUUGGUGGGGUAAAGGCCUACCAAGGCGACGAUCCGUAACUGGUCUGAGAGGAUGAUCAGUCACACUGGAACUGAGACACGGUCCAGACUCCUACGGGAGGCAGCAGUAGGGAAUAUUGGACAAUGGGCGAAAGCCUGAUCCAGCCAUGCCGCGUGUGUGAAGAAGGUCUUCGGAUUGUAAAGCACUUUAAGUUGGGAGGAAGGGCAGUAAGUUAAUACCUUGCUGUUUUGACGUUACCAACAGAAUAAGCACCGGCUAACUUCGUG
rnacentral:rRNA from 1 species